rnacentral:rRNA from 1 species
ACAAGGUCUCCGUAGGUGAACCUGCGGAGGGAUCAUUACACAAAUAUGAAGGCGGGCUGGAACCUCUCGGGGUUACAGCCUUGCKGAAUUAUUCACCCUUGUCUUUUGCGUACUUCUUGUUUCCUUGGUGGGUUCGCCCACCACUAGGACAAACAUAAACCUUUUGUAAUUGCAAUCAGCGUCAGUAACAAAUUAAUAAUUACAACUUUCAACAACGGAUCUCUUGGUUCUGGCAUCGAUGAAGAACGCAGCGAAAUGCGAUAAGUAGUGUGAAUUGCAGAAUUCAGUGAAUCAUCGAAUCUUUGAACGCACAUUGCGCCCUUUGGUAUUCCAAAGGGCAUGCCUGUUCGAGCGUCAUUUGUACCCUCAAGCUUUGCUUGGUGUUGGGCGUCUUGUCUCUAGCUUUGCUGGAGACUCGCCUUAAAGUAAUUGGCAGCCGGCCUACUGGUUUCGGAGCGCAGCACAAGUCGCACUCUCUAUCAGCAAAGSUCUAGCAUCCAUUAAGCCUUUUUUUCAACUUUUGACCUCGGAUCAGGUAGGGAUACCCGCUGAACUUAAGCAUAUCAU